rnacentral:tRNA from 1 species
GGGGGCGUAGCUCAGUUGGGAGAGCNUCUGCUUUGCACGCAGAAGGUCAGCGGUUCAAUUCCGCUCGUCUCCA